AAUACUUAGGAAUCUGCCCAUUAAUGGGGGACAACAGUUGGAAACGACUGCUAAUACCGCAUACGCCCUACGGGGGAAAGCAGGGGAUCUUCGGACCUUGCGUUAAUGGAUGAGCCUAAGUCAGAUCAGCUAGUUGGUGGGGUAAAGGCCUACCAAGGCGACGAUCUGUAGCGGGUCUGAGAGGAUGAUCCGCCACACUGGGACUGAGACAUGGCCCAGACUCCUACGGGAGGCAGCAGUGGGGAAUAUUGGACAAUGGGGGGAACCCUGAUCCAGCCAUGCCGCGUGUGUGAAGAAGGCCUUUUGGUUGUAAAGCACUUUAAGCGAGGAGGAGGCUACUAGUAUUAAUACUACUGGAUAGUGGACGUUACUCGCAGAAUAAGCACCGGCUAACUCUGUGCCAGCAGCCGCGGUAAUACAGAGGGUGCGAGCGUUAAUCGGAUUUACUGGGCGUAAAGCGUGCGUAGGUGGCCAAUUAAGUCAAAUGUGAAAUCCCCGAGCUUAACUUGGGAAUUGCAUUCGAUACUGGUUGGCUAGAGUAUGGGAGAGGAUGGAAGAAUUCCAGGUGUAGCGGUGAAAUGCGUAGAGAUCUGGAGG
rnacentral:rRNA from 1 species